CAAAGGCGCAGCAGCUGAUGGCAGUGAGAGGGAAGAAGACGAUGAUGAAGAAGACGAGGAUGGUUAUGGUGAUGAUAAAGGGGAUCCAAUGGAGGCAGCGACAUCAGCGAUGACGAUGAUGAUGACAACGCCCCUGGUUCUGGUGGUACAGGUGGCAACACAUCCAGGAGGACUAGCACUUCUGCCACCCCUGCCAGCAGCAGCAAUUCAUUGAGUAGCAGGAGCACACUAUAGAUAUUGAUUGACAAAACUUGCUGGAAAGACAAGGAUUUGCCGAAGUCAAAGAAAAAUAACGAAGCAAAGUCUCAGAGCAGCAUUGAUAUGUUCAAGCUCUGCAACUUGAAGCCAGCUUUGCCAACCACCUUUCCUGUGCCAGAUUUCAGCGACAAAGAUAUGUGUGAGAUGAUCAACUUUGCCAUUGACAAGAGCCUGUUCUUAUCAAGUGAUGCUGAAAAAAUCAAAUUGACAUGGAGGAAGCAGGAAAGGGUCUUGACUGGGUUCAUUCAAAGGAAAAAUACAAGGAAUAUUUAAAGAAGCUCCCAGACCUAAGCUCCAGCAAGAGCAAGGCAGCAUCCAUGGCAAACUCUCACAUGGUCCAGAAGCGUAAAGCAGUUUCAAUGAAGAAGAAUCUGCAGUUGCCUCAAACCAAGAGAAGAUGGUGAGUGUAGAUGCUGAAGUAAAUAUGGUCAAGGAAGCUGUGCCUCAAACUAAUAUGCCAACUCGUGAGCAGAGAGCCAACCAAUGUCACAGAAAUUCAACAGAUCAAGGGGAAGACUCCCCUUUCAACAGUCCCACCAAAAUCACCUAAGCAGAAGAUUGUCAAGUUUGCCAGGGGCACAAAGGGGGAAUAGGCCACAAAAGGUUUGGAGUUCGGAGACGAGAGAGAACUGCGAGCCACAACCAUUGAUGCAGGGGUGCCAAGUUCUGCUAGGUUACUGCCAACUCAGACUGGAAAGAUGCCAAUUACAGAUACCAGUGUGCCAACUGAUGUGUCAGUUAGCAGCAUGGUCACAGUAAAAACCACCACAGCUGGUCAGGAAGGCACCACUGCAACUGCAAGCCCCAAGGUGCCUACUCAUAAAGAUGCUUCGUUGCCAAACACAAAAGAAGGUGAUCCAACUAUCAAAGUGCCAUCCCCAAGAGCUAGCACACAGCAGCCAAGCAAGCCUGCAUCACCAAGAGCUGACUUUCAGCAACCAUUAACACAAGAGGAGGUGUUCAACAUUAUAAGUAGGUGCAAGCCUCCAAGGUCGCCAACUACACCACUAUUGUGAACCAAGUCAGUGAACGAUGCACCCAUGUUUGUGCCGCAAGGAGAUGCCCUGGUCCUUGAACCCUUACGAAGAUCAAAGUCUUGUCAUGGUGACGGGUUCUGCGAUGCACCAUCUUUUGACCUCGGCAUAGAUGGUGAUGCUCCAGCACCUGCUCCAGCAGCAGAAAUAGCGGAAGCCGGUGUGAUUUGCAUUGAUGAGUGUGAGUUGGACCUAGCAGCUGUGAAUGAAGGAUGUGCUGCUACUAAUGCUGGCAAGGCAAUAGCUCAAGAGCUAGAUGUUGGUUCACCAGAGAAUUGCCACACCCCGAUAUGCGCAAAAUCAGAAGAUGGCACGAGCAGUUCUUCGGGACCACAUAUUGCACGAAGACAGAGGAGGGUAAUAAGGCCCGCAACAUCUCAAAGGUCUCCAUUCAUUGACUACAACAAGAAGAAGACUUUCAGCUCCAAUGAGGCAAUGAACAAGCUUUACGCUGCCCUCUUGUAUUGGGUCAGGCAUCACAAAGGAGCAAAUGAUGAAGCUACCAGCCUUGAGAUAAUCAGGUAUGGUGCUUUCUACAUUUCUUUAAAGGAGUUAGUUGAUUCGAUGAAGCCGGUUCAAUGGUUAUAAAAAAUUGUUAUUGAGACUGGAAUCUUACACAUCAUUGAUAACUUACCAGAAGGGUCAAAGAAGGUUGUUAUGCCACUGAGGUUUUCUAUAAAUUUACAGCAAGGGAUCCACAAUGUGAAUGAGAUAAACAAGAAGUUUGAUUACAAGAACCGUCUCGACAAGAAAGACUUGUGCUCGAGUGCGCUGAUGUAACCGAUAAGGAGGGAGGGAGGCAUUAUUGGGUCUUCAAUGUCAAUUUGAGGGACGAACGCUUCGAAGUUCUUGACUCAAACAGGAUGCUGGACAACAUUGUGCUGAUGACCACCGCCUCUACCAUCGCGGGGGUAGUACGCCAGCUAUGAAGGAAGCAUUACCCAAAGUUCAGCAUCGAGCACUUCCAGAUUAUUGACAUUGACGUACCGAAGCAUCACAGCAAUAAUGAGUGUGGGUUGUUCGCACUGCUUAAUGCCACCGAGUGGAAUGGUAGCCAACUGCCCAACUACGACCCCAAGGAAGUACUCAACAUCAGGAAGAAGCUGGCAUAUGAUUGGGUUACCAGCAUGCACAACACCGUCCCAUGGAGGAAGUUGCUGAGAUACGACAAGGAGUAG